AAGUCGUAACAAGGUUUCCGUAGGUGAACCUGCGGAAGGAUCAUUAAUGAGAUCAUGCCCUUCGGGGGUAGACCUCCCACCCUUUGUUUAUAAUACCUUUGUUGCUUUGGCGGGCCGUCAGGCUCAGCCCGGCUACCGGCUCACGCUGGUAAGCGCCCGCCAGAGAACCCCAAACCCUGAAUAUUAGUGUCGUCUGAGUACUAUUAAUAGUUAAAA
rnacentral:misc_RNA from 1 species